rnacentral:lncRNA from 1 species
CGCAGAGGUCAAAAGAGGGCAUCAGCUCCACAGAAACUGGUGCUACAGAUGGUUGAGAGCCACCAUGUCAUUGCUGGGAACCAAACCUGGGUCCUCUGGAAGAGCCAAAAGCGCACAAACCAUCCUUCCUGCCUCUGUGGUAACCGUUUUUAUUUUGUCUGGUUUGGUUUGGGGGCGGGAGGCACUACUUGGUUUUAUUUUGAGGCAGGGCCUUGCUGUGCAGUGCAGCUGGCUUACCAAGAGCUAAGGCUACAGGCUGGCCCAUACUCUGUGUAUACUUUUGUAUUCCAGAAACUUUCUGGUCAGUCCACUAGAACUUGCUCUGGACUUCAUAUCUUCGAGAAUGAUGCUGUGGGAAACACUGGGACUUCGACAUGUUUAUAAUUGAAUGUAAAACAUCAUGGCUGUUGUCAUUUUAAAGAGUACAGUUGUGAUAUGUGAUUUAUUCAUAAGUUCUAGUUUUUCUCUGAAUUUUAAUCUUAUAAAAGGAACUAAUUAUGGACUUACCAGUCACAAAAAUUUUAGAGUGUAAAACUUAAAUAGUACAUCUUUGGGAUGUAGUCAACAUAAAAAAUAACCCCCUCUUGAGGACAGAACAUUGAGGUCAGCUCCACUUUGAGUCCCAUAAAAGAGAUAAAGAUUGAACAUCUUGGUGGCAGGUUUAAGUUUAUAAUCAUUAAUGUUUUUUAGCCUGUUUCAACUAAAUGUGUAAUAAAACAAAAUUUAAUAAACUGGUUGUUAAACUUUCAUAUAGCAACA